AUGUGGGGGACGCAUGCGCGCCGCUGCGGCACCCGCACAGGCCAUGCCCCCUUCGUUGGCUGCCCGGGGCAGCGCGAGAGGGUAUCGCUUCUGGCCAACCAGUGUAUGCAUCCACUGCUACCAAAAGAUUACAGCUCCAGCUGAAAGAUUACUGCUGACGUAAACUGUGACAGCCCAGGAGAGUCCUGUAUCAAGGCAUUCCACACUUGUACAGAGAGAAAAGAUAAUGAGAAGCUGACUGCUCUUCAUCCACACAGCAAUUUUGAUCCCACGACGGUGAGGGAAUGACAUUAUAAUUCCAAUUCAGAUUGGUCUGUGGCUUGGAGGCAAAUUCCAUGGUUUGUUGACACCCUGGAAUAAAGUACGACAAAUUGAUAUGAGGUGGCGAGAAAACUGACGAUCUUCACCUAUUUUGGACCUUCGACAGGACACCACUCCCUCAGCACUGUAUUGAAAUGAGAGUGCAGAUUGAACCCACUAUUUCUAACUCAAAGGGAAAACAACCACCACAGGACUACGGUUGACUACUUAUGUGAAAAUUGGAUCUGGAAGGAUUGAUCGAGAUCUUGAUGUUACUUUGCAAAAGUUUCUCAUGGCAAACCCCAAUGAUGGUCAUUGAACUACCACUUUUGGAAUUCUAUGAAGACAAUUCAAGCACAGUAGACAACGGGGACCCAGUAGAUGUGGUGUACCUAGAUUUCCAAAAGACCUUCAACAAGGUGCCACACAAGAGGCUGCUGCAUGAGAUAAAGAUGUAUGGUGUUACGGAAACCUGGAAGAGGAUGGGAUAACGUCAGACUUCAGACUGACCGAUGAUUUCAGGGGAUUUAACUCCCUGCAUGUACACAAACUAGCUUCCCGUUCCCUGGCAAAGCACCCGCACUCCUUGAUAAUAUUCUUGAUUAAGGAAGACAGGCUGUUGAACCUUCUCAUCCUGGGUUCAUCAGGACACACUCUGGAAUGCCACACUUCAUAAGGAGCAGUCAUUUAUAUUGAAUGAGAGAAGGAUUGGCAAGUCAACGCUGAUUGCUCAAGACCAUGCCAUGGAGAGUGCACCAGGGAACUAUUAUUUUAUUUUACUUUUAUUUUAUUUUUCAGCAGUACUUCAAACUCUCUGCUAUCCUUUUGUGAUCAGCUCACAGCAUGUAACAAAUCAGAAUACAAAUAUAAAUCCAUGGUGAAUUUUGAGUGGGUCUUUUAACAAAUAAGAGCUUCAGGCUUUUUUUUUCAUGGUUUGAUUUAGGAUUACCACUCAGAAUUUGGACGAUAACAACUUGAGUGUUGAACUUACUGCUAGAGAUGUUUUCUCUCAGCUUCUUGCAUUCAAGGUUAUAUCAGGAUUUUGGCUCUGGAAUGGCAGGAGAUAGUCACCAUAUAGUUGGGAAUGAGAAAGUACACAGUAAAGAUGGGGAGGUACGGAGGCUCAGUGGUUAGCACUGCUGCCUCACAGCUUUAGCGGCUCCAAUUCAA